UGACAGAAAGGAUUUGACAUCAUCUACCCAAAAAAAAUGAAAAGGAUUUCACAUCCUUCGACAAAUUUCUGCACUCAUAUCAGAAUUUUUUGCUGAAGAAGGUUCAGUAGCAACAUAAGAGGGUAGGUGUUCAUUACCAACCAGUUUUAGGCAAUUUUUUCUUUAUGACAUCAAAAGAGGAUAGUUUUCUCUUUGCUCUCACUAAUUUCAUUGGGCCCAAACUAAAUUCAAACAAAAGAUUUCUACCUAAGAUCUCCACAAACAAUGGGUAGAUACUCAUUCAGCACUAGCAAUCUGGCAGAAAACUAGAAUGGAAAGAAUACCAAAGUAUCAACAGGGUACUCUUUGCUUCCUCAUAGCGAAACACGGAAACGUCCUGUGUGAGGUUUCCCCGUUCUGGAAACGUUUCCUACACGAAAACGGCGGGACACGGCGAGGAAACGUGUCGAGGCCGUUUCCGGAAUUUGUGAAAGUUGGACACUUGUGUCGCGGACAGGAAACGCGUUUCUAAGCUUAAAAACGCAGGACCAGCCGCGUCGCAGACAACGGCGUUUUAGAAGAAGAAGAAGAAGAAGGAGGAGGAGGAGGAGGAGGAGGAGGCGACGACGACGACGCAUCGCAUCGGCGCAGGUGGCUGGAUCACCGGUUCGGUAAGUAUGUCAUCUCACGUAUACAGAAGUCCCCACCGGGGAGGUUUUUCAUGGGUUUCGGCCUUUGGGUAAUCUUGGAAAUGAGCUCAUUUUCAUACCUAUCCUGAUUUCGUUUGGGAUGGGCUUACAGUCCAUAGAUAUUCAUUGGGCCCCUCAGUGCAAUAUUUGUAAUUAAAAAAAUUAGACAAAUUUUACUUAAACUCGUUUAUUUAUAGUGUACUCAAAAUAUAAUUUGAAUGGUAAAAUUUAUAUAAAUAAUUUUUAACAAUUUAGUUAUUAUUUUGUCCUUUGCUUUCCCCUUCCAAAUUAUAUGAUAUUCAACGAAUAUUGGAAAUCUCUUUUCAGCUUUAUUGUAAUAUAUUGGGCACAUAAUAAUUUCUCGACUAUUCAACUAAUAUUCCAUCUAAGGCAAUAUAAUGGGUGCAUUUCUUUUGCACCUAGCCCCUGGCUUUGAAGCCUUCGGAGAGCCAAGAAGUUACAAUGGUGAAUCCACUGGUAAACAUGAUACUUUCAUUUCUAGCCACGUACUGCCUGUUAAGAUUCAACAUGGUUAUCAGAUUCAGGGACCGGAGGUUAACUUAAUUAAUCUGACAUGGAGGACAAUUAGUGGACCAUUUGUUUCAAUCUGGCUGCAGAAUGUGCCUUAGGGUGGGGAGGAUGUUACGGCAGCACCUGAUGGAAAGGUGAAAGCAUUUGUGCUGGAGCCUGGUCCACUCACCGGUCAAGGACCAUUGAUGUAGAUGGUGAGGUUCUUGCCAGAGGAAACGGAUCGUACAAGUGUGAGCAGAAGACUUUGAUGGUCUAUGACAAGCCUCAAAUAACAGUGGAUCAAGGUUUAGCUACUCAUUUUCUCCUGAAUAACAUUUUAAGGAAUUCUCGUCACAUGAAUCUGCUGUCAUAAUUUCGUUAGUUUUUUGCCACAUAUUUGGAAAUUUCA